rnacentral:rRNA from 1 species
UACGUAGGGUGCGAGCGUUGUCCGGAAUUAUUGGGCGUAAAGGGCUCGUAGGCGGUUUGUCGCGUCGGGAGUGAAAACACCGGGCUUAACUCGGUGCUGGCUUUCGAUACGGGCAGACUAGAGGUAUUCAGGGGAGAACGGAAUUCCUGGUGUAGCGGUGAAAUGCGUAGAUAUCAGGAGGAACACCGGUGGCGAAGGCGGGUCUCUGGGCCGUAACUGACGCUGAGGAGCGAAAGCGUGGGGAGCGAACAGG